rnacentral:lncRNA from 1 species
AGGAGCCCAAGUUCUCAUAUUGCUUAACCUCUGUUGAUGACACAAAAGCCAGCACACUAUUGAUGGGAUCUCUAGCAAGUGUGAAAGCAUCAGACAGUGAAAUCAAGACCACCCCUUUAAUCCAGAACUCAGCACAGCCAUCAUUUUACUAUCUUUCCCUUGAAGGAAUAUCAGUGGGUGACACUAGCUUACCUAUCAAGAAAUCUACCUUUUCACUCCAAGAAGAUGGAAGUGGUGGCCUUAUUAUUGACUCUGG